rnacentral:tRNA from 2 species
GCCGGGAUAGCUCAGUUGGUAGAGCAGAGGACUGAAAAUCCUCGUGUCACCGUUUUCAAAUA